rnacentral:pre_miRNA from 1 species
AGGAGGAACAGCCCCAGUGGCGGGGCAGCUCUGGAGCCCUGGAUUCAGACCCCGCAGGAACUAUGGAGCUCUCGGUCUGCAGGGCCUGGAGGCUCGGGGCGGG